AAGAGUGUUCUUUCUCUGAACUGUGUUCUCAACCUUUUUUGAUUUUAUUUUGAAACAGGAUCACACUAAAUUGCCCAGCCUGGCUCCUUGGAACUAAAUCUUAAUUUUCUGCCUUAUUACACAUGUUGCUUUUAUUUUAAAUAGUUACAUUGUUUUGGAAACUAUAUGAGUACAAUACUUGAGUAACAGUGUUUAGUCAAAUGAUAGGUGAUAAUGUAAGCUCUCAGGUGUUCUUAAUCUAAAUAACACAGAAACUUUUCAUCUCUUCCCCCUUUCCAUUUUUCCUCUACUGGAGAAAUAGACCUUUUUUGUGUAUGGAGUUGGGAAAGGACCGUAAAACCCUGGGUCUUCAACCUCUGUCACUGUUUCCUACUACUACUUAUGAAACAUGAUAGUUUAUCUUCUCUAAUUGAAAAGUUGGUUGUGUCUUGUAACUUAUUCACAACAAAGAAUGUAUCAUAUUUAUUUUUAUGUCUUCUCUCUGCCUGUCUUCUUUUUCCUUUCCCUUCCUCCUUUUUCUCCUUUUACUUCAAAAAGCAAUAUAUAAUUGUGUACUAACAGGCCUGUGAACAAACAGUUUGGUAUACUACUUUUUUGUACACUGUAUUGAAGAUGAAUCAUUAUGUUAUUUUGUUUACGUAUAGUCAGUAUACUUCGCAUUAUAUUACAGAGAAACAUAAACCUCUUGAUUGGUUUGUAUACCUUGAAAAUUUGGUUUGUAUACCUUGUCUAUAUAAAUGGAAUAAUAUAUGAUUUGUUGUUACACUAUGAAAUGAGAUAAGUAAAACAACAUAAUUUAGGAAAAUAUAUCUAAUUAUAAGAUAGUAUUGUAGCAUUAUAUAUAAAACUACAUGUAACAACAAUGACUUUAACGUGAGAAGUAUAUAUGUUAUAAAGCAGUGAGGUCAGGUUUUCUCUUCUCAUGGGCCCCUUUUUGGUGGAGAAUAUCACUUGACUUCAUAACUUUUUAAUGUUCGGGAUAGACCUUUUCAUUCUCUUAAGAAUUUGAUUUUAAAUUAAGAUAUUCUACUAUUCUCAAGUAAAGUAAUUCAUAAAGUGAAUAUAAAACAAAUGUAAAUAUAAACUUUAUUUUUAAGAAACUGAUCAUACCAAUGUACAAAAAUUGAAGAAGGAAAUCAGAAAUUUAGGCUAAAAAUGAAUCACUGAAAAAGGCUUUUAAGAAAAAAAGUUUUGUUAAAUCACUGUAAAUAUAAUUUUAUGUAACAUCAUUUAUAAAACAACUGCUAGGACUUUGCCUAUGAAGAUUAAAAAAUUUUUUUUUUUAGUUGUAGUUGAACAUAAUACCUUUAUUUUAUUUAUUUGUUUUUAUUUGGUGCUGAGGAUUGAACCCAGCGCCUCGCACAUGCUAGGCGAGCACUCUACCGCUGAGCCACAACCCCAGCCCCUCCUAUGAAGAUUUUUGUCUAAAAACAAGUACUUGAAAGUAUUUUUGAGGCUAAGACAAAGUUUUUUGGUUAACCAUAAGUAUGUAUAAGUGUCAGGUGUUAGCAAUGGAAGUUUUCUUUUUUCCCCCCGAAAAGGAAAAGUCAGAGGUCUUAAUUCUUUAAGGGGUCAUGUUAUUUUUAAUUGCAUUUUUUUUUAAAAGACUAUAUAUUAAAUCUGUGGGGGGAAGAGCCUUUUAAAUUUAGAAAUAGUUUCAUUUUAUUGACAUGAAAGCACCUGUAAUGUCAGGGAAAACAUUGUAAUCAAACUAAAAAUCAAACUGAAAAAUGCACAAAAUAUGACCAAGUUAUGUUAUAAAAAUUCAUAUAUUUCUAACAAUAUUGGAGCAUCAGGAAUAAUUUUAUAAACACAAAAUAAGGCAAGAUUUUUUACUAAUUCCAAAAUUAACAAUACUGAGUGUUAAUGAGAGUACUAUGAUCAUACAGCUGGUGGCAGUAUAACCAAGUUUAAUUUCUGUAGAAAACAAUUUGGAAUACUUUCCAGGUACAUGGCAAGACCUAAAAAGUGUUAAAAUUUUUUUAAACUUUCUCACAUUUUGUAAUUAACUGUAAGGAAAUUACUAAAAAUUACCUAAGUUGGAAUUGCAGUGUUUGCAUAUUGUGAUUAAACUCCACCAAUAAAUGUAUUUGAAAAUCUUGAACUGU
rnacentral:lncRNA from 1 species